rnacentral:snRNA from 1 species
AAGGUGUGUUCUGAUCACAGU